CUUAGUGAUUAUUGCGGAGGGGGUACACCCGAUCCCAUUCCGAACUCGGAAGUUAAGCCCUCCAGCGCCGAUGGUACUGUCGGUAUAGCCGAUGGAAGAGCAGGACGUUGCUAAGC
rnacentral:rRNA from 1 species